rnacentral:rRNA from 1 species
UUUUAAUGUAAAUUUUAUUUUUAUAUAAAUUUUUAAAGUUAUAGUUUUCUUUAAAAAAUCUUAUAAAUAUAAGUGCCAGCAAUAGCGGUCAUACUUAGAGAUUUGAUGUAUUUACACUAGGUAAGACAAAAAAUAUUUUUUUUUUAAAAAAAGUUUUAAAGGUAAAAUUUUAUAAAUUUUUAUAUAUUAUCUAUUUGUCAUAAAAUAUGAUUAAAAACUAGGAUUAGAUACCCUACUAUUCAUAAAAUAAAAAAUUUACCUACUAGAGUAAUAAAUUUAUUUUUUUAAAUUGUGAAAAAAAAAAAAUGUGGCGGUAUAGUUAACAUAUUAGAGGGGUAUGUACAUUAAACGAAAAUACACGAAAAUCUUACUUUACUUUGCAAUUUUUUUAUCUUGAAAAAAUUCAUCUUACACACCGCCGUCGGAAUGAGUAGAUUAAAAUUUUUAAAAAACUUUUUUUUAAAAAUAGUGAUUCUGUAUCUUUAAAAUUAAAGAAAUAAGUCAGGUCAAGGCAUAGAUAAUAGUAAAGGAAAUAUGUACUUCAAUAUUCACAAUUUUGAUUUUAUAAAAAAUAAUUUUUUUUAUUAAUUUUUUAAAAUUUAAAAAAAAAGAAUUUAAAAGUAAUAUUUUUAAAUCUUGAAAAUAUGAAAAAGGAAUGCUAUGUGUACAAAUCGCUCGUCACUUCUUUAUCAGGAGGAAAAAUAAUGUUUUUUCUUAAAUGAAGAAAAAGUCGAAACACAGUAAGACUAUCGGAAGAUGGUCUUGUUUUA